GGGCGUGUGGCGGAGUUGGCAGACGCGCCAGACUUAGGAUCUGGUGGGGCAACCCAUGGAGGUUCGAAUCCUCUCACGCCCACCA
rnacentral:tRNA from 2 species